AUGAACGCUGGCGGCGUGCCUAAUACAUGCAAGUCGAGCGAACGGACGAGAAGCUUGCUUUUCUGAUGUUAGCGGCGGACGGGUGAGUAACACGUGGAUAACCUACCUAUAAGACUGGGAUAACUUCGGGAAACCGGAGCUAAUACCGGAUAAUAUUUUGAACCGCAUGGUUCAAAAGUGAAAGACGGUCUUGCUGUCACUUAUAGAUGGAUCCGCGCUGCAUUAGCUAGUUGGUAAGGUAACGGCUUACCAAGGCAACGAUGCAUAGCCGACCUGAGAGGGUGAUCGGCCACACUGGAACUGAGACACGGUCCAGACUCCUACGGGAGGCAGCAGUAGGGAAUCUUCCGCAAUGGGCGAAAGCCUGACGGAGCAACGCCGCGUGAGUGAUGAAGGUCUUCGGAUCGUAAAACUCUGUUAUUAGGGAAGAACAUAUGUGUAAGUAACUGUGCACAUCCUGACGGUACCUAAUCAGAAAGCCACGGCUAACUACGUG
rnacentral:rRNA from 1 species